rnacentral:rRNA from 1 species
UACGGAGGAUGCGAGCGUUAUCCGGAUUUAUUGGGUUUAAAGGGAGCGCAGACGGGUUGUUAAGUCAGCUGUGAAAGUUUGGGGCUCAACCUUAAAAUUGCAGUUGAUACUGGCGUCCUUGAGUGCGGUUGAGGUGUGCGGAAUUCGUGGUGUAGCGGUGAAAUGCUUAGAUAUCACGAAGAACUCCGAUUGCGAAGGCAGCACACUAAUCCGUAACUGACGUUCAUGCUCGAAAGUGUGGGUAUCAAACAGG